GGAGGGGACUGCUAGAAGAAGAGCAGAAAGAAGGGAACACAUUGCUACUUUGGCACAACGUCUAGAAACUACGCGUGCAAGGUCAUUAUCAGCUUACUGCACCCUGAGAGCAGAGACGCCUAGUUUGUGCACGAGUAUAAAGAGUGCUGAAGGGGAAGCACCCAUUCAGAGCUUCUGACAGAGAUUGUUGUAACCUCUCCGGCCGAUAUCAAUAAAGAUCUGUUCAUUUAACUUUGACUUGGAGUCCUUAGGUGUUAAUUUCCACGACAGUCUCUUUUCCAAAUGCUACGAUGAUACGGUAUAUGGCUGCGCCUUGGUCCUCCUCUCCUUUCACUGAAGACAACCGUUACAGAAUCAUCCACCACAACCGGACCAAGCAGCAUGGUCACCAGGAGCAGAGGGUUCUGGACUCCUGGACAUGGGAGGAGAUUUUGGACGGAAAGGGACCCUGGGCACAGGCUGGGGAAGAGCUGGAGGCAGCCAAAGCCGAGAGGCGGCAUUAUGAGGAGCUAGCACGGCAGCGCAACAGGGACAAGAGGCAGCCCCCAAAAUUUAUUGGGGUAGGGGGGCACACAGGGAGUGUGGCUAAGUCAGGUAGGAGACCUGAGCCAACUCCCUGUGCUUACCGUGGAGAGAGGUGGACCGGGCCGGCACCUUGUUAUGCCGUGAGGUGCAUGGUGUCCCCAGUGCGCAGUCAUAACCCGGUGCGCUACAUCGCAGCCGGCUCAGCGCAUCUGGUCUCCAGUGUGUCUCCUCGGCCUGGGGUAUAUGGCACCAGCCCUACGCACGGUGUCCCCGGUUCGCCAGCACAGCCCAGUGCAGUCGGUUCCACCCCGCCGCACUGGCCGGGCUACGGGGAGUAUCCAGCCAGGACAGGUUGUGCAGGCUCGGUGCUCGAGACCUCCAGUGCGUCUCCACGGUCCGGUCCAUCCGUUGCCUCCUCCACGCACCAGGCCUCCGGUGGAAGCCCCAUGCACCAGGCUGUCUCUCCGUCUCCUACCUCCUGUCUAGCGCUGCCAGAGUCUCCCUCCUGUCUAGCGCUGCCAGAGUCUCCCUCCUGUCUAGCGCUGCCAGAGUCUCCCUCCUGUCUAGCGCUGCCAGAGUCUCCCUCCUGUCUAGCGCUGCCAGAGUCUCCCUCCUGUCUAGCGCUGCCAGAGUCUCCCUCCUGUCUAGCGCUGCCAGAGUCUCCCUCCUGUCUAGCGCUGCCAGAGUCUCCCUCCUGUCUAGCGCUGCCAGAGUCUCCCUCCUGUCUAGCGCUGCCAGAGUCUCCCUCCUGUCUAGCGCUGCCAGAGUCUCCCUCCUGUCUAGCGCUGCCAGAGUCUCCCUCCUGUCUAGCGCUGCCAGAGUCUCCCUCCUGUCCUGAGCUGCCAGAGCCCUGCUCUCCAGAUAUCCUGCGUCGGCUCUGCGCACUGGGUCCCCCGCACUGGGUCUCCCGUGUGUCUGCACAGCCCAGUGCGUCCUGUGCCUGCGUCCUGCACGUGCCGGGCUAA
rnacentral:lncRNA from 13 species